rnacentral:lncRNA from 1 species
UCAUUAUGGUCGACGUCCGGCGUCUGUCGCCGGCGCUGAUAUUGGCUCAUGGUCAAAUUUUUUGUCUCAAUCGAAGCACAAAGCCAAGCUGAUCAUGAAUAUGGAAAUGAAAUGGAAAACACUCCUUGUGUUGGUCGAAUCGCACAUCUAAAGGGAGGAACCCUAGCCGAUUGCAAGCUAAAUUAAAUAGUGUAUGGCGCCAAUCAAUCCCUACAACCAUGGGGUUUCUACUCCCUACUUCAGAUACUGCAACUAGGUGAUCUCAAAGCAAGGAAAUACCACUGAAAUGAAAAUGACAUACCGGAGAAGAUGAUCGGAAGGUUCGCCGGUAAGCUUUCUGACCUUGAUUCUCUCUUCUUCUUCUUCUUCUUCUUCUUCUUUCGCCUUCUUCAUCUUCUUCUGGAUUAGAACAAAGGAAAAUAUGAAUAUUGUGGCUUAGCUCAAGCAAAAUUGAAGCUUCAAGGUGAAGCAAAAUUGAAGCUUCAAGGUGAAGCUUCAAUGGCUUUUCUGUGAGAGAGUGAGAGCUUUGGUGAGGGUGAGGGAAGAGAUUGCAGAGAGAAUUCGCACAAAUGCCAAGGGUCUGAAAAUGAGAGAGGUGAAUCUCUUAAAUAGAUUUUUGGUUCGGACCUUGCUAUCUUGGGACUUAGGUAUGGAAUUAGUUAAACAUGGUUUGGAGUUAGUUGGACUCAACUCACUGAGUUAAUUGAAAAACUCAGUUAGUUAGAAACGACUCAGUUAGUUAAGUUGGUUAAUGUGAGUGAAUUGAAACCUUUGACUGGCUAUGCAGGUUAUUACUUAAAUGGAUAUGAACUCCAAGGGCUUUAGUAAUGACUGGUUGAACAGGUUGCACUUAAGUGGUAUUGGUUCAUUGGCUUAAAUGAUGACUGGUUGGACCUGUUAUGUGGUGUUAGUGCUGCUAUGCCAUGGAACUUUGCAUCGUGUUACUCUAUCACUGAAACCUGUCUUGAACUGUAAUCGAGACAGGGUUGUUAUCAAUGCAUUGGAUAUGAAAUCAUGUUGAGCUUUGAUGAGGUUUGAUGCAAGGUUUUACCCUUGGUUCUGAUGGGACCUAUUUUCGUUAUGACUUUGCUAUUCGAAUGGAGCAGUUAGUGAUUUUGCCAGGUGUGACUUUUGUACUAUAGGGUGCUGGUGGCAUUCACUUGGAUAGCACAAAAUCUGGCUUGGCCUGUGUCUUGCUUCAGGUGACAGCUUAUGGCCUUGCAUGGUGACGGUAAUAUCUGCACUUGUCAUCUAGCAAAUCUUUGACCUUUUGUAUUGCAGCCAAACUAAGUCAUGAUAGCAUAGUCAUGUUGUUGCCUAGCUUGGGCAUUGGAGAUGGAUUGAAUGUGGUAAUUUGUAGGUUUAGAUUGAUGCUUGGCUUGUGCACAACCUGUCUAAUUCCAACUUUGUUGACUCCAACUAGGCAUAUUGGUUGUGAUGUCAAUUGUUGUUAGCAUUUAUGCAGAGCGAGACAAGUGGUUUAGCUUGUUAAUACAUCCCCUGUCAUAUUGCAAUGGUUUAAGUGUGGUGCAGAUGUGAUGCAGUAGGUUAUUGUCAGUCUGGACUGUUAGUUGUUGAACUGUUAAUUGUUAGUAAUGGACCUUUAAUUAUGAUUGUACAUAUGCCCUGAGUUGCUGACUUGCUUGCUAAUCCAAGGAGUUGCUUCAAAUGCAGUGUGCCGACCUAGCCAUGGUCGACAGCAUGUGCUGCUUUCAAUGCCUCGGUUCAUGAUUUGUUGCUGGCCAAUCUUGUACCUGAUGACCUGUACUGGUGCUUGCUUACUUGGUGCAUGAUGUUGGGUUAUUAUAGCAUGUGCACAUGACAUGGUAAAGACCUUGUUGAUGUUUGCAGGUCCUGUGAAGGGCUUCUGACUUGGUUCAAAGAAAGCCAUGACUUAUGCUCAGAUGUGCUUUAAGUCAUAGUUCCUUUGCAAGUGUGCAUCCUAUUGAUCCUGCAUGCACUGACUCAUGCAGUCUUAGUUCACCUCAACAUUUCAUGGCUACCUCUACAGUUUGACAUUAAUUCUGUUUGAUGGCAGGUAUGCAGUGUAUAAUUAUCCAGCAUGGUUCAUUGGUUUGUAGCUUUCCCAACAUGCUUAGCUUAUUGAUUUCUCAUUGUUGCAUGGUGUUGGCAUUGAUACAGGUUUGUGAUAUGUUGACCUGAUGUAAUCCAAUUGUGACUUUUGCACUGCAGGUAUUUCGGGUUUGAUCUUGGCAAUGAUGACAUUCCUUGGUUUGGUUCAAAACAUUGGCACGGUUCGAAUGCGUUACAGGAUUGGUUUUUGCAGAUGCUACUGGUGCAUAACUCACUUGACCACCCCUCUCACUUGCAGGUUUGGUGGAACUUAGCCUCAUGGUUUAAACUGAUAUCUUAACUGUAGGAUGCAAGCCAAUGAUGUGUUAUUGCAGGUAUUGAUCUUUGGUUCUGAAACAAUUUUGGUGUGCUAACCUAAUGCAGUCCAGGUGUCUGAAUUUGCUUUGUAGAAGGCUCAUGGAGCAAAGGGUAGUGGCUGAUAUCCAAGGUCUCUUUCUACUUGUCAACAUGCCAAUUGGCUUCUUUGCAAGUGGCCUGGUUUAGGUCUUGGCCUGUCACCUACUGUACUAUAAGGGUUUGAACCUGGUUUGGAUGCAUGCCUUGGCUUUUGCUUCAUCAUGUGGCCAACCUUUUGGUCAUGAGUUGCCAUGUUUCGCAGAGAACAAUGUUAUUCAAUUUGUGAUGCCAACUGUUGUUCUGAUGAUGUUGUCAUGACAAUUUAAGUAGCAAUGUGGUAAUGUUCUUGUAACUUCCAUAGGUUGUUACUCACUGCAGAAAUCAUGAGACCAUUGCUCUAUUGAGUACUUGCUUGUAAUGCAGGUGGUUAGGUGCUUUGUUCCUGAACUAUUUUAUCUAUGCAUUAAGAUGGCCUGGUUAAGCAUGCUACAUGUUUCAUCUUGUAUUAUGUACUAACAGGGGAAUUGUAACAGGUAGAGAGACUUGGUGGCUGCAUGGUUCAUUGCAAUUUGCACACCAUGGUUCACUAGCUGGAAGAUUGGGAAACCAACUGUGCAUCAUGCUGCUAUGGUAUCUUUUGCCGUGUGAGAUGGAGAGAUGGCUGCAUUUUCAUGGUGGCAGGAUGUUUAUCAUG